rnacentral:rRNA from 1 species
GCUGGGUGGAUUAGUGGCGAACGGGUGAGUAAUACGUGAGUAACCUGCCCUUGACUCUGGGAUAAGCCUGGGAAACUGGGUCUAAUACUGGAUACUACCGCCCACCGCAUGGUGGGUGGUGGAAAGGGUUUUACUGGUUUUGGAUGGGCUCACGGCCUAUCAGCUUGUUGGUGGGGUAAUGGCUCACCAAGGCGACGACGGGUAGCCGGCCUGAGAGGGUGACCGGCCACACUGGGACUGAGACACGGCCCAGACUCCUACGGGAGGCAGCAGUGGGGAAUAUUGCACAAUGGGCGGAAGCCUGAUGCAGCGACGCCGCGUGAGGGAUGACGGCCUUCGGGUUGUAAACCUCUUUCAGUAGGGAAGAAGCGAGAGUGACGGUACCUGCAGAAGAAGCGCCGGCUAACUACGUGCCAGCAGCCGCGGUAAUACGUAGGGCGCAAGCGUUGUCCGGAAUUAUUGGGCGUAAAGAGCUCGUAGGCGGUUUGUCGCGUCUGCUGUGAAAGCCCGGGGCUCAACCCCGGGUCUGCAGUGGGUACGGGCAGACUAGAGUGCAGUAGGGGAGACUGGAAUUCCUGGUGUAGCGGUGAAAUGCGCAGAUAUCAGGAGGAACACCGAUGGCGAAGGCAGGUCUCUGGGCUGUUACUGACGCUGAGGAGCGAAAGCAUGGGGAGCGAACAGGAUUAGAUACCCUGGUAGUCCAUGCCGUAAACGUUGGGCA